rnacentral:rRNA from 1 species
UACGUAGGGACCGAGCGUUGUCCGGAAUCAUUGGGCGUAAAGAGCGUGUAGGCGGCCACUUAAGUCCUGCGUGAAAUCUUGCGGCUCAACCGCAAGCGGUCGUGGGAAACUGGGUGGCUAGAGUGCGGGAGAGGAGAGUGGAAUUCCUGGUGUAGCGGUGGAAUACGCAGAUAUCAGGAAGAACACCCGUGGCGAAGGCGGCUCUCUGGAACGCAACUGACGCUGAGACGCGAAAGCGUGGGGAGCAAACAGG